UCUCCCUUGCCAUAUUUGUAUGAGACUGAGUAAUGCUUUUGUUGUUGAAAGUGACAAACUUAGGGGCUAUUUAUUUUGCCUCUUAAUAUUCCAUUAAGAGGCUGGUUCUGGGUUGUUCAACGUUUGGUUGAAUGGUUUUUACCCUCUUAAUCGGUCAAAUGUUGCAAAAAUGAUUUGGAUCUGUAAUACAUAAGGAGGAAUCUGGAUGAAAAAGUUCUGCACACUACCCUUGCCCUAACAUAAAAACACGGCGGCCACUUUUUUUUUCUCCUUCUUCUCGAGCGACUACACCUUCCCUUUGCCAGCCUCCGGCAGCGCCACUCCACCUUCGCCACUACACAUCCGCCUUCUUCGCCUCACCCCUCGUCGCUUCCCUGUUCAAUGCUAAGUUUUCUGCUCUAGUCUUUUUGGUCAUUUUUUCAGGUCCUAUCUUUUUGGUCGAUUAUUUCAGGCCCUAAAACCUGUUAUGCUGAAUUUGUAUGAAAUUGGUGUUUGAUAUGUGUUCUUGCUCCUCGAUUUUUUUUAUGGUUUGUGGAAAUGAAUUUUCUCUACUUUGUUCUUGCUUCUCUAUUUGUAUUUAAAAUCUGAAAAGUAACAAAUGUGUUUGUGUUUGCUUAAAAAUCUAAAAUUAUGUGUUUGUGCUGAAAAUAUGAAAAUAUGUGUUUGUGUUUGCUUGAAAAUCUAAAAAUGUUCUUGAUGUUUAAUUUUGUUGUUGAAAUCGGGUAGAUUUUUGUUGUGAUUAAUAUUAGAGAUGGCACAAAUGGCACAUGGUGGUGUUAGGCAUCCAUGGAUACCGUUUCACUAAGAUGCAUUUCUUGGGAGUGUGAGCAAUCUCUCUGUGCAAAACGUCAAAUGUCUGGUCUUGUUAGUCAAGAAGCCCAAAACCUCUUGAAGUUGUAGUUUAGGCAUCAAAGUUUUUAUGAUUUUUAUGGUUUCUAUUUUAUGUUUAUUGUGUUUGUUAUUUGUAUGUCAUUGAGCUUAUAUAUAUAGUGAAACAUUUGUGUUCUUAAA